UACGUAGGGCGCAAGCGUUGUCCGGAAUUAUUGGGCGUAAAGAGCUCGUAGGCGGUCUGUCGCGUCGGCUGUGAAAACCCGGGGCUCAACCCCGGGCCUGCAGUCGAUACGGGCAGACUAGAGUGUGGUAGGGGAGACUGGAAUUCCUGGUGUAGCGGUGAAAUGCGCAGAUAUCAGGAGGAACACCGGUGGCGAAGGCGGGUCUCUGGGCCUGUACUGACGCUGAGGAGCGAAAGCGUGGGGAGCGAACAGG
rnacentral:rRNA from 1 species